rnacentral:tRNA from 1 species
GGGCCUGUGGCUCAGUUGGGAGAGCGCUUCAAUCGCACUGAAGAGGUCGCGGGUUCGAAUCCCGCCAGGUCCA